rnacentral:lncRNA from 1 species
UGGCCAGGAAGCACACCAGAAGGGAAGGAGCCAGGGUCCCACAUCCUCUUCACGGAUCUCCCACUAGCCCCUGCCUCAUAAAAGUUCGACAGACCUUUCAGCACCACCCUGGGAACCAGUUCUCUAACACAAGAUUCAAACUGUGGUGUUUUCUGAAUCAGAACUAUAGUUUCCUUUUGUUUUCACAAGCCUCACACCUUGGGGCGAGUCACUGAAACACCUUUUGGCUAGUUUGGUUCUUGUGGAGUUAGAUGCCCUGUAUCCCCUCCACCCCAUCCGAUUCACGCAACUUGCACUUGACCGACUGUUGCCUUCGUGCCCUUGUGGUGUAGGUGACUGUGUUUUGCCCCUUUCCAGAUACAUUUCCUUGUUAUCUUUUUGGACAGGGACUAAUGCAGGAGAUUAAUGAUUUGAGGUUAAAAGUCGGUGAAAUGGACAGUGAAAGACUCCAGUACGAAAAAAAGCUUAAAUCAACCAAAUCUUUAAUGGCCAAACUUUCUAGCAUGAAAAUCAAGGUGGGUCAGAUGCAGUACGCAAAGCAGCGGAUGGAGCAGAAAUGGGAGUCACUGAAGGAUGAGUUGGUGUCUUUAAAAGAGCAGCUGGAAGAGAAAGAAUGUGAAGUAAAAAGGCUGCAGGAAAGGCUGACCUGCAAGGUGCGAGGAGAUGGGGGCCAAGUUCUGGACCGAGGUGAGACUGUCGGGCCUGGCUGUUUGAUUUGUCACAGUCCUGUGAAAUAGGGCGUGGGGCUGGCGCAGCCGAGCCGCCCAGACCCAGGGCAACAGAAGGUUCUUUCAGACUCCGCUAUGAUGGGGAUCUGUGUGCUUCAUACAGCUAGACCAAGGCUGUCCUGGGUUGUAUUGUCCGUUCAUUUUUAAUAACUUGGGCUGGGGAUGUAGAUCAGUUGUAAAGCCCUGCCUAGCACACACAGACCCCAGGGUUCAAGCCUCCAUGUAAACCGUGUGUGGUGGGCAUGCCUGAAAUCCCAGCACUGGAAGGUGGAAGCUGGGGAUCAGGAGUUCAGGGUCAUCCUUGGCUACACUGGGAGUUUCAGGCCACCAUGGGAUGCAGGAGACUCUGGCUGAAAGAAACAAACAUUUUGGAUGACUGAAUUGUAAAUGCUUAUUAUGAGAAUGCCAAAGAAUUAGAAGGGAGUUAGGAGUGUAGGGCAGUGUGCACUGCUUGCCCAGUGUGUGUGAGGCUGUGGGUUGGGUCCCCAGAAGCGGUAGGUAGGUAGGUAGGUAGGUAGGUAGGUGGGUAGGUGAUAGAUGACAGACAGACAGACAGACAGACAGACAGACAGAUAGAUAGAUAGAUUAUAGAGAGAUGAUAGUAGAGAGAUGAUAGAUCAUAGAGAUGUAGGUGACAAACGACACAUAGAUAAUAGGUAAGUAGGCAAUAGAUGAUGGAUGAUGAUGGCUAGAGAACGAAUCAUUGCUGUGUCUCAGUUGUUCCUUCUGAACUGAGCUUCAGACAGGAUGAGCCCAACCUGGUAGCUCUUGCCUGUGAUUUGAGCCCCAAGACUGAGGCAGGAGUGCUGCCCAAACUUUGAGGUCAGCCUGGGCUAUAGAGUGAGACCAUGCUUGAAAAAAAAGAAAAGAUGAUGUGAGGGAUUUAGACGCCUUCCUCACCUUUUUAGGGGAAAAGAGGAGUGACUCUGUAUCUUUGGGAAAAUCAGUGGUGUUUUUUCCCAUGGAAUGAGCCCUCAUUUUAAAAAAGCAUAAGUAGGCCAGGUGUGGGGUGGUGGCACACGCCUUUAGUCCCAGCACUAGGGAGGCAGAGGGAGGCAGAUCUCUGUGAGUUUAAGGCCAGCCUGGUCUACAUAGUGAGUCCCAGGCCAGCUGGGGUGACAGGGAGACCCUGUCUCAAAAAGACAAAAAAAAAAAAAAAAAAAAAGUAGUUGAUUGAAUUUUAGCAAAAGGCAUGAAUUUAUCCAAAGUGUGUGAUCCUGAGGGAAGUUUGUUCCAAAUGUUGCAAAAGUUCCUAAUAGUGUAUGGAUCAUAUGCAACAGGAAGAUGACUUAAAUAGAAUGUGCUUUAAAAGACUACAUUUGGAGACAAAGAUGUGGCUUAGCAGAUUCUUAGCACCUACUUGGUAGCUAAGAACCAUCCAUAACUCCAGUUCCAAGGGAAUCUGAUGCCCUCUUCUGACUUCCUCAGGUACUGCAUGACAUAGGUGCACUUACAUGCUUGCAAGCAAUACACUCAUGUAUAAAAUAAAAACAAUCAUUUAAAAAAAUCUUACAGAGUUUAUACCGAGUUCAAUAUUGUAUAACUGUAUUAAUUCAACUGUGAACCUAGAAACUUGCACCCACUUGUGAAAGAGAUGUACUCUUGCUCUGGAGUGUGUUACUGAAUAUGUUAAAUAUUCUAAUCAUGUAGUUAUUAAAAAUUUAAAAAAAUAAUGAUUAAAAAAGUUACGGGGCUGGAGAGAUGGCUCAGCAGUUAAGAGCACUGACUGCUCUUGCAGAGGACCUGGGUUCGAUUCCCAGCACCCACAUGGCGACUACAAACCAUCCUUAACUCCAGUUCCAGGGGAAUCUGAAGCCCUCUUCUGACCUCCGUGGCAUUGCAUUGCACAAGUGCACUCACAUAUAUGCAGGCAAUACACUCAUACACA